rnacentral:tRNA from 1 species
AGGAUAAAAGUUUUAUAACAUUUAAUUUGCACUUAAAAGACAUCAGUAAUCUGAUUUAUCUUA